CUGUGAACCAAUCAUUGCUUGCGACACCUGGACACAUUGCCCUUGUUGCUGUUGUGUUUGUCCUGUGCUAGUAGCCACUUUCUGCAUUACUUUCUGACCACCCAUAACCUUAAAAGGGCACCAGGCUUGGUUGGUUUGAAACAAUCUGAUUCUGAUGCUUUACUGGACCUCUUCAGUGUGAAUCUUUCGAAAUAUUUUGAAAUGAAGGAAGUUUGUUAACUUUGUUUGAAAUCUAUGGUGGAAUCAGAAACACAGAAAUGAUUCAGACGAGAGAGACAAUCGUCCAUGCCCACCAACAAUGACAGUUUUGUGAAACCCACACUCUUGCUGAAAUUUCGAGGAUUUUUGAUUUUCCAACGAGAAACUGUAUCUACAUAGAAAACUGCUUUCGCAGAAAAGCUUUUUCCUUUUAUUCAAAUCAAGAAAAACUUUGUCGAGAUAGAGGGUUACGAGAAUAUUAUAGACCCAU